CUAAAUAACAUUCAUUUCCUUCACUCUGCCAUACCCAUUCUCUCUCAAACCAUUGAGAAAUACAUCUUCUUUAUAAGUUUUCAUUCCCCUGGCUUUCUUAAAGUCUUAAAACAUUUCCAAUUUCAUCACCUCUUUCUUUUCGAUCUUCUCAACUGUCUAUAUAUCCAAAUUACAAUGGCUAUUCUCACCAACAAACAAGCCUUCUCUUCCUCUUUUACCCAACGAUGCAAAUAUGACGUGUUCUUGAGUUUCAGAGGAGAAGAUACCCGAAACGGUUUUACUAGCAAUUUAAACGGUAUUUUGCGUCAUAAUGGUAUUAACACCUUCAUGGAUGAUGAGCUUCAAAGAGGAGAGAAAAUUUCCACUGAACUUCUCGAAGCUAUUGAAAAUUCAAAGAUUUCGAUAAUUGUAUUCUCUAAAAACUAUGCAACUUCCACUUGGUGUUUGGAUGAACUUGUCAAAAUUCUUGAGUGUAAAAAGAAUGGCCAAGUGGUGUUUCCAGUGUUUUAUGAGGUGGAUCCAUCAGAUGUACGUAAUCAAAGGGGAAAGUUUGGAGAAGUGCUAGCAAAAUAUGAAGAAAAUUUCAAGUAUGACAUGAACAAGGUGCAAAGAUGGAGGGCCGCUCUAAAUGAAGCUGGCAAUUUAUCUGGUUGGGAUUACAAAAAUGACCGCCCUCAAUUUAGGUUUAUCCAAGAAAUUUUUGAAGAGAUCUCAAGUGCUAAAUUAAAUUGUUCACAAGUAUUUGUUGUUAAAUACCCAGUUGGAAUAGACUCUCGCGUAAAGGAAAUAAGUUGUUGCUUAGAUAUUGAGUCAAACGAUGUUCGUGUGUUAGUGAUCCAUGGUCUUCCUGGAAUAGGUAAGACAACAGUUGCAAAAGCUAUUUUUAACUUAAUUGCAUAUCAUUUUGAAGGAAGUAGCUUUCUAGAGGAUGUUAGAGAAAACUCAAAAACAAAUGAUGGUGUACUCCAACUACAAGAGGCACUUUAUUAUGAGAUCUUAGGGGGUAGAAAUUUGAAAGUACAUGGUAUAUCUAAAAGAAUCAAUGUGAUAAUGGAAAAGCUUCAUCACAAAAAAAUUCUUUUAAUUCUAGAUGAUGUGGAAAAAUUAGUCCAAGUAGAAAAUUUGCUUGGAAAAUGCAAUUGGUUUGCUUCUGGAAGUAGAAUUAUUAUCACAACAAGAGAGAAAAAGUUGCUAUCUACCCUACGAGAAGAUUGUCAUUUAAUUUACUAUAAGGUUAAGGAAUUAAAUGAACAUGAAUCUCGUGAACUCUUUUGUCAACAUGCAUUCAAAAGAAACAAGCCUACAGAAGAUUAUUUGGAGCUCGUACACCAAUUUAUAGUUUAUGCGAAAGGACUUCCAUUAGUUCUAAAAAUAAUAGGUUCUGAUUUAUAUGACAAAAAUUUACAUUGUUGGAAAAGUGCAUUAGAUAAGUACAAAAGAAUUCCUAAUUCGGAUAUUCAAGAAGUACUUAAAAUAAGCUAUGAUGGAUUGGACCGAAUUCAACAGGAUAUUUUCCUUGAUAUUGCAUGUUUUCUUAAAGGAUUCUACAAGAAUUUGGUUGUAGAUAUAUUACAAAGUAGCAAUUUUCAUGACCCGUACUAUGAUAUUGAAAAACUUAUUGGUAAAUCUCUCAUAGUUGUUGCAAAUGAUGACAAAUUAUUGAUGCAUGACUUGAUACAACAAAUGGGUUUGGAAAUUGCUCGACAAGAAUCAGAAGUGUCAAGAAAACAUAGAAGGCUAUCAUGUUAUGAGGAUGCUUUUGAAGUACUAAAUGGAGAUAUGGAAUUAGAUGAAAUUCAAGGCAUAACAUUGUCCUUGCCACAACCAAGAAAGAUGCAAUUGAAUCUUGAAAAGAUGAGAAGUCUCAAAUAUUUGAUUAUUCGUAAUGUAAUUUGUGAAGACCUUAAAUCUUUUCCCAAUGGGUUAAGGUUACUUGAUUGGAAUGAAUUUCCUUUAUUGUCCUUGCCAUCCACCUUUGAACCUACAAAACUCAUUGCGCUUAAGAUGCCUUGGAGCCACAUUGAAUUGGACGAGCAUUUUGAGAUUCUAGGGCUUCACCAUUGCUGGAACCUUCCGAAAAUUCCAAGACUUCCACAUUGCAUACAAGUUGUAUUUGCAAUAGGGUGUAAUUCGUUGAAUUCGCAAUCAAGAAGAAGAUUACUGAAUCAGUUUGAAGAAUUUAUAGGGCUUCAACAAAAUAUCGUAUGUGCAAGGGGAAUAUGGCAUCAGGAUUCUGAUUCUGAAACAAACUUUGAAUCAGAAUUAGAAUUUGAUUUUGAUGAAGCUACAUUUGAAACGGACUCUACAUUUGAAACGAAAUCUAAUCCUGAAGCGGACAAUGAAUUUGUAUCAGAAUUUGAACUUAAUGAAGCUACAUCUGAAACGGACUUAACAUGGAAACUUUAUGAUUCUUAUUCACUUCUACUUCCAGGAACUAAGAUUCCAAAAUGGUGGUUCAACCAUCAAAGUUUUGGAAGUUCCGUAUCAUUUUCAGUCGGUCGGAAACUUCCAUCAUUUGCUAUCUGUGUGGCUCUAAAAUUGGAAUUGAAGGAUGUGACAUAUAGAUGUGAUGUAUUUAAUUGUUCUAUCUACAUGAACAUCACUGGUUUUAAAAGAUUGCUUGUGUCUACUCAUUUUUCAUUAGAUUCAGUAUCUUUUAUGUGGUUCUACUAUAUUAGAGAUAACUCUUUGGAAGACAUAAUUUUGGAGGAUUGGAAUGAAAUUAAGAUUCUAUGUAAAUGUUCAGAUUUAGAUCCUGAAAUUGCAAAUAUUACAAUAGAAAGGUGCGGAGUCCAUGUAUCAUGCAUUUGUCCUCCUUUCAACUUCGCAGCAAAUGAGGAUGCUAACUUCAACCCAUGUCCACCAUUGAAGAAAAUGAGAACCUCUUGAUUAAACUUCAAACAAAUAUGCCAAGCAAACAUCAUCAACUUCAUUGCAAGUCCAGCUUGCAAGCUCAACUGGGAAUGGAAGAGCAAAGGAUAUUUUUGUAGAUUCUCAUUCAAUUUAAUGGCCUAUUCAUUCAGGGGCAAGCUAAUCUGAUAUGUCAUGUUAGCUGCUGGCAGCUUGAGCAUGAAUGGUAACAGGUUUAUGCAUUUAGUUUUUGGGUACAUGAUGACGUAUCUUGGUGCUAGUACUUCACUGUUUAUGUGUAAUAAAUGUGGUCCUUCAGCUUCUAAAAGUGUAGAUAGAAGUAGGAUCAAGAAAUUUAAUAGCUGACAUAUAAGGUUUAGAUUUCUUAAUUUUGUUUGAAUAAAUUAAAAACAACUUAUUUAAGCGAUCAAGUCUUCUAGGCUAAGAUUUGUAGGCACUAACAUUAACCUUGAGUAUCAACACAAACAUAAUGUCUAACAAGGUAAUUUUGAAAAAUUAAAAUGUCAUGGUGCAUUCAUAUAAAAAGGAGGUCUUUAACUAUCAUGAGCAAGGAAUUUUCUAGUAGAUGUCUAAUAGUGUAUAUAAGAAAAAUGCUAGUGUUAUAAGCCUAUUCAUAUCUUUCCUAAAACAUUACAUCAAUAAUCUGGGAAGUCUAGGCUGGGACAAAUAUAGAGGCAAAUAUAUUAGCGAUAAUAGCUACCAAACCCGGGGAAAUAUUGAUAAAGCACACGACAAUGGAUAAUCAAACUUGCUAUUCUUUUUUCAUCUUAAACAUAAAAUUCUUUGGGUAUGGAGACCAUUUUGCUUCUUUAUAUAUGCAAAGCCUUUCAUUUUAGUAUAUUAUUGUCUCUCUAAAGCUUUUUUCUUUUAAAGAGCUUUCAUCUAGUGCUUCAUGACUCAUUAGAUUACUUUAAACAAAAAAAAUUUCUCAAGACAUUUCAUUAAACUUGUUCAGUGUCUUCCCCUAAUGCAUUGUGCAAGGCUUAAUUAUUUUCUUACAUGUAACCAUAUCAUAAAUUUUUUCUUACAUGUAGUUUGGUCAAGCUCUUUUACAUCAUUAAUAAGUACUAUGUGUUGUUUUAAGCCUAUUUUAUGUGAAAAAUAAUUAUUUUAUUGAUUAUUCAUUUUGUACAAUUUGAAUAGAUUUGCAUCUUAGAGUUCCCUUAUUUUUUUCUGUGUUAUCCCAAAUGCUGGUUCUUGUAUGUUCUACUUUCUCCUUUAUUAUGUGAUUCUCAUAUUUCCAAGCCUUUUAAAAAAAAAAAAAUUUAUGGCAAAUCUAAUUUAGACCCCUAUGUUGUUGUUUUAUUGUCCAAAAAAAAUUCAUUUCAAGAGCUUUUAUAUAGUGCUUCAUGAUUCAUUAGAGAUUAGACUAAUUCAAUAAAAAAAAAAAAAAAAAAAAUUGAAGACAUUUCAAUAGGCUUGUUCAGUGUAUUCCCUAAUGCAUUGUGUGAAAAGAUUAUUUAUUUAUUUUUUUUAUGUGCAAGUGUAACCAUAUAAUAAAUAUUUUCCUUACAUGUAUAUAGUUUGGUAAGCUUUUUUACAUCAUUAAUAAGUACUCUUCGUUGUUUUAAGUCUUUUUCAUGUGACAAAUAAUUAUUUUAUUGAUUGUUCAUUUUGUGCAAUUUGAAUAGGUUCGCAUCGAAGAGUUCCCAUAUCUUUUCUGCAUUAUCUCAAAUGCUAGUUCUGGUGUGUUCUACUUUUUCCUUUAUCAAGUGAUUUAUUUCUAAGCAUUUUUUCAAUUGCUUUAUGACAAAUCUGAUUUGUACCCCUAUGUUGUUUUAGUAGUAUUGUCUCUCCAAAAUCUGAUUCAAGAUGUCUAGGUCUGUGCUUAUGGCCUUAGUGGAAUCUUCAUCGGCUGGGGUUUCAAAAUUAAAAUCUUCUAGUGUUGAGAUAUCCUCAUUUACCACAUCAAGAUAUAUUUCAAGAUCAUUGGCAGUAAAUGUAUCAAUAACUCGCGUAACAUCAUGCUAACCCAACUCUAUUGUCAACUCUAAUAUGACAUUUUUGUAUGUACAAGUAUAAACCUUGGAUUAACUAAAAUGACAUCUCUAGCUUUAUUAAAUCAUUAACUAGCAAACAAUGAUGGAGGUGAAAUGUUCAAAUAACCAAAUAAUUUGUUUUCCCAAUAGAUUUACCCACAUGUAACAACAAUUUCAACAAAUUAAGUAUACUUGGUGGAGAUAUGUAAUUGAGGAUAGUAUAAGGACUGUUGCAACUUAAAAUCUCCAACUCUUCUCUACUAAAUGCUCCACGCAAACUUUGACACAAUCUAUAUGCCUUGUGAUGAGUCACUGUCUAAAAGCAUAACCCUAUGCAUUGCAAUUAUAUUAUCAUUCCUUUUGCCACAGAUAUAUUUGUUAUGCUAUCUAUUUGGGAUUGCUAUAUUUAUUUUAAGUUUGCCACAUAUAUAUUUGUUAUGCUAUCUAUUUGGGCUUGCUAUAUUUAUUUUAAGUUGUGGACUGAACUGUCACUAGUAAUAUUGAUAACUUUCAUUUAUGUAAUCCACUAUGUAGAGUUGCAUCCUUUAGAAAUAGACGAUAUGUACUGAUCAUAUGACAAAAAUAGGGUUGCAAUGGCAUUGUAAUCGACCCCAUCUGUAAGUGUACUAGGUAAUUGUGUAACAUGUUAAUUGUUUGAAUUAUAGUUCCAAAUGCUUAGAUUCUGGAUAAAUAGGAUUUUCUAGUGAGCUAUACUUGGCAUAUUGUCGGAGGAUUAUUGAUUUCAUUAAGGGGUUAAUGCAAAUGUUUUUAUCAAUGUGUCUCAAUCCACACUAUAUCCUACUUCUUGCUAACUUAAAGGACAAAGCAUUUGACUUUUGGAUUCUAUACCAUCAAUGGUACAUCAGGGCUGAGACGUAGUUCGCACAUAUUAUUACUACACUAGCUAGACACACCUACACCCAUAGAACAUGCACUAAUGCAUGCCAUAUAAGCUCUAUAGUAGUCAUACAAAUAAAGUAUGCAACAAGUAAUUUAUGGUUAAGUCACAAUGUUCAUUUCUUUCCCAUGUUUGUAUGAGGUUUAACACACUUGAUGAUACCAUAUUUUGAUAAACUACUUUUUCCUUCUCCUUUUCAUUUGUUUAUUGGGUUUUACAAUUCAAAUCCUUAUUAAGAGCAAUCAACUUUCCAUAUUUCAAAUAUAGACAUGGAAGAUCAAAUUUCUAUUUGAACUUACCUCCAUAAACCUAGGCAACAAGAAAAGUUUGAGUGUUAUAGGUAGGCUAUUGUACUCUGUUUUGCCAAGUAGCAGCUACACGAACAACGAGGUAAAGAGUUGAUACAAAUGAAUCCUGCAUUUUCUAGCUGGCUUUUGUAAAAUCUAGAAUGUGUCAAUGUUAACGUUGACAGUGUAGAUGUGCAUAUAUACUAAUACAAGUUUGGGCAUGUACAGGAAGUCAUUGAUAUUGGUUUGCAUGAAACAUUUGGAACAUGAAGAUGCCAAGAAUUGGAAGCUCAUAUCCAUGGAUGCACUUCCAAUACAAUGUAAAUACAUUUAAGGAGCAGCCUGGCUUUGGCAGACAACUUUUGCUAUUUCAAGAUUGGUAGGUUCCUAUCCUGGUUGAAGGGUGUGGCAAUUAAAAAUCUACUUGGCAUGGCACUUGUUUUAUUUGUAAAUCGAGAGAUUGGUACAAGGUUCUUGCUAGUUGUUAGAAUUGGCUUACUAUUAUUGCUAUUAUUCUUUCCAUUAAGGAGGCCUUUUUCAAAUCUAGUGCAAAGAGGGUGUUGGUGAUUUUGGUAUUGACAAGUAGCACAACUGUAUCAAAAUUAAUGCUCAGUAAGGAAUGUAAUGGUUGGAAUAAAAAAAUGUUCAUUAGAAGCAGCAGGAAAAGUUUUUGCAUCAAACAGGAGGAUAGGAAGUUGUCUUUUGAGUGGCAGUGACACAAAGAUGAAAGCUUGAUUGCUUGUUUUUUUUCCCCCUGGUUUUGGAUUUAUUGAUUUAUACAUGCUAACUUAGAUUUUUCCAUGACGUAGUUUUUGUCUGAUGUACCCAAAAAAAGAACUAUUUUACAUCUUUGAUAUACUGACUGUAGAUUUGCUUCUUUAGUGUUUGGUUGGCUCUAAAGAUAUUUAUA